GACGAAGGGGGCUAGCGUUGUUCGGAAUUACUGGGCGUAAAGGGCGCGUAGGCGGACAGUUAAGUUGGGGGUGAAAGCCCCCGGGCUCAACCUGGGAAUUGCAUUCGAGACUGCUCUGCUAGGGUGCGGAAGAGGGAAGCGGAAUUCCGGUGUAGCGGUGAAAUGCGUAGAUAUCGGAAGGAACACCAGUGGCGAAAGCGGCUUCCUGGUCCAGCACCGACGUUCAGGCACGAAAGCGUGGGGAGCAAACAGG
rnacentral:rRNA from 1 species